AUUGAACGGCUGGCGGCACGCCUUACACAUGCAAGUCGAACGGCAGCACGGGAGCAAUCCUGGUGGCGAGUGGCGAACGGGUGAGUAAUGUAUCGGAACGUGCCCAGUCGUGGGGGAUAACGCAGCGAAAGUUGUGCUAAUACCGCAUACGAUCUAUGGAUGAAAGCGGGGGAUCGCAAGACCUCGCGCGAUUGGAGCGGCCGAUAUCAGAUUAGGUUGUUGGUGAGGUAAAAGCUCACCAAGCCUGCGAUCUGUAGCUGGUCUGAGAGGACGACCAGCCACACUGGAACUGAGACACGGUCCAGACUCCUACGGGAGGCAGCAGUGGGGAAUUUUGGACAAUGGACGAAAGUCUGAUCCAGCAAUGCCGCGUGCAGGACGAAGGCCUUCGGGUUGUAAACUGCUUUUGUACAGAACGAAAAAAGUCUUUAAUAACACUAGAGGCUCAUGACGGUACUGUAAGAAUAAGCACCGGCUAACUACGUG
rnacentral:rRNA from 1 species